rnacentral:rRNA from 1 species
CUACUGGGGUAUCUAAUCCUGUUUGCUCCCCACGCUUUCGUGCCUCAGCGUCAGUACCUGUCCAGUCACCCGCCUUCGCCUCUGGUAUUCCUCGUGAUAUCUACGCAUUUCACCGCUACACCACGAAUUCUAGUGACCCCUCCAGGACUCAAGACCUGCAGUCUCAAAGGCAAUUCCCCGGUUAGGCCGGGGGCUUUCACCUCUGACUUGCAGGCCCGCCUACACACCCUUUACACCCAGUGAUUCCGGACAACGCUUGGACCCUCCGUAUUACCGCGGCUGCUGGCAC